rnacentral:rRNA from 1 species
GGACGCGAGCGUUAUCCGGAUUUACUGGGCGUAAAGCGUCUGUAGGCGGAUGUGUAAGUUGGGCGUGAAAGCUCCGGGCUUAACCCGGAGAGGCCGUUCAAUACUGCAUAACUUGAGGGUGUCAGAGGGGAGCGGAAUUCCCGGUGUAGCGGUAAAAUGCGCAGAGAUCGGGAGGAACACCAGUGGCGGAGGCGGUUCCCUGGGGCACACCUGACGCUGAGAGACGAAAGCUAGGGGAGCGAACAGGAUUAGAGACCCUGGUAGUCCUAGCCCUAAACGAUGAAUGCUAGGUGUGGGAUCGAAUGGUUCCGUGCCGGAGCGAACGCGAUAAGCAUUCCGCCUGGGGAGUACGGCCGCAAGGUUAAAACUCAAACGAAUUGACGGGGCCCCGCACAAGCAGCGGAGCGUGUGGUUUAAUUCGAUGCUACACGAAGAACCUUACCUGGGUUUGACAUGUAGGUGGUAGUGAAUCGAAAGGUGAACGACCCUUCGGGGAGCCUACACAGGUGCUGCAUGGCUGUCGUCAGCUCGUGCCGUGAGGUGUCGGGUUAAGUCCCGUAACGAGCGCAACCCUUGCUCCUAGUUACAAGUGUCUAGGGGGACUGCCGGCGGAAAGCCGGAGGAAGGUGGGGAUGACGUCAAGUCAGCAUGGCCCUUAUAUCCAGGGCUACACACACGCUACAAUGGUCGGUACAAAGGGCAGCGGAACCGCGAGGCGGAGCGAAUCCGAGAAAAGCCGAUCGUAGUUCGGAUAGCAGGCUGCAACCCGCCUGCUUGAAGCUGGAGUUGCUAGUAACCGCGCGUCAGCCAUAGCGCGGUGAAUACGUUCCCGGGGCUGUACACACCGCCCGUCACGUCAUGGGAGUCGGUAACGCCUGAAGCCGGUAGUCUAACUGGAAACAAGGAGACGCUGUCGAGGGCGGGACUGGCAACUGGG